CCUACGGGGGGCAGCAGUGGGGAAUAUUGGACAAUGGGGGCAACCCUGAUCCAGCCAUGCCGCGUGUGUGAAGAAGGUCCUCGGGUUGUAAAGCACUUUCAGUGAGGAAGAACGCCUGGUGGUUAAUACCCAUCAGGAAAGACAUCACUCACAGAAGAAGCACCGGCUAACUCCGUGCCAGCAGCCGCGGUAAUACGGAGGGUGCGAGCGUUAAUCGGAAUUACUGGGCGUAAAGCGCGCGUAGGUGGCUUGAUAAGCCGGUUGUGAAAGCCCCGGGCUCAACCUGGGAACGGCAUCCGGAACUGUCAAGCUAGAGUGCAGGAGAGGAAGGUAGAAUUCCCGGUGUAGCGGUGAAAUGCGUAGAGAUCGGGAGGAAUACCAGUGGCGAAGGCGGCCUUCUGGACUGACACUGACACUGAGGUGCGAAAGCGUGGGUAGCAAACAGGAUUAGAUACCCCUGUAGUC
rnacentral:rRNA from 1 species